rnacentral:rRNA from 1 species
UGGGAAUUUUGGACAAUGGGCGCAAGCCUGAUCCAGCCAUGCCGCGUGUGGGAAGAAGGCCUUCGGGUUGUAAACCGCUUUUGUCAGGGAAGAAAUCUUCUGAGUUAAUACCUCGGGAGGAUGACGGUACCUGAAGAAUAAGCACCGGCUAACUACGUGCCAGCAGCCGCGGUAAUACGUAGGGUGCAAGCGUUAAUCGGAAUUACUGGGCGUAAAGCGUGCGCAGGCGGUUUUGUAAGACAGAGGUGAAAUCCCCGGGCUCAACCUGGGAACUGCCUUUGUGACUGCAAGGCUUGAGUGCGGCAGAGGGGGAUGGAAUUCCGCGUGUAGCAGUGAAAAUUGCUAGAUAUGCGGAGGAAACACCGAUGGCGAAGGCAAUCCCCUGGGCCUGCACUGACGCUCAUGCACGAAAAGCGUGGGGAGCAAAACAGGAUUAGAUACCCUGGUAGUCCACGCCCUAAAACGAUGUCAACUGGUUGUUGGGAAGGUUCCUUCUCAGUAACGUAGCUAACGCGUGAAGUUGACCGCCUGGGGAGUACGG